CCUUGCCUAAUCAGGGCUGGAGUAAGGAAACUGUAAUUGAGUUGUAGGCACAGCAGAUAGUCUGUGUUGAUGUCUGUUUGGGAAGAGGCUGACCCAAAGCUGAGAAAGCCUGGGCCCAGAGGAUGACUUCCUUGGAGUCCGCAGUGAAGGAUUUCUUCCCACCAUGUUGUCUGGCAGCCUCGUCUCAUUUCCUAAGCAGUAAAAUGUUCAGUAAACCCGACUGAAGCCAGCUGCUAUUUAAAGCCGAUGUUUGGGGACAUAGGUCAACAAUAUCAUCUUGGCAGCACCUGUGGAUUGCCAAUGUUAGCACAGCCCUGAAGACAGGUGACACCCAGAGCUGGCAAACAGUGGCCUACUCAAGGAAUGAUCUUCACACCUGUUCGAUGUCAUCUCUGGUUUUUGGACAGCCGGUGAGAGACAUUUCUCUCCCUUGCUUCUUGAAUAAAUGAAUAUGUAAAUGC